GAAAGGGAAACCAUUCGCGUUUCCCUCAUCAUCUCCGACCUCUCUCACUUCACUCGCUCUCUCAACCUCAACGCCACUCUCCACUUCUCUCAAACUCGCUCACUCUAAAUCAAAGAAACCUUCUCUCUCAUCUCUUCGCUCGUCUCACUCUCUCACAAUGCCUUUCUCUCGCUCACAUGCGUAUCACUCUCUCUCGUCCUCUCCACCUCUCUCAAUCGUUAAAACUCUCUCACUCGAGCUCUCAAACUCAAUCAAUCCUUCCCUAUCAAAUGCUCAAAGGAACCUAAACGAAAAAAAACUCACCCUCGGUGGCGGUAACGACGAGCUCCGGGUUUCGAAAGUGUAAUUGGUGUUCAAAGGAGAAAGCUUUCAGAAGCGCUUUUGGAUGCUCAGAAGUGCUUUGUCUUGUUUGAUGCUAUCUUCCGGAAAGUGAAAAAUUAUUGAAGACUCAAGAGUGGUUUCGGUUCCGGCUCCGGUUUAACAGUCUGAUGGACGAUAGGUCGUGGAUUCCGAGUCUUCAAAGCAAAGCAAAAUGGCUUGGCGCGUUGCGAACUCCAUACCAGCUGUUGUUGGAUUCGUACUGUGGUCUGCAAAGAGACAUAAUUAUGAUUGAAUUGCACUGUAACUUGUAUUGUUUGAAAUGUAUUCUAACAACCACGUAACACUUUGGUUCAAAACGGAAGGCUCUUUGCAGUAACCGGAGGUAGCAUCAUUGCCAUGCCAGCAGGGGUUGCUCCCGGAAAUUAUCUUUUACUGAGUCUAGAAACUCAGCAUCGGUCUGCUGAUAUGUUUCACUUAGCCAAUUUGGUAUCCGUCAAAACUUUGGAUGCUUCGUGAGAUUUUCAAAUACGUGAUCCUUCAAAUACUCAGCAGCACGAGAACCGCCAUGACCGUCAAAUAUUCCAAAUA